GUGCCAGCAGCCGCGGUAAUACAGAGGUCUCGAGCGUUGUUCGGAUUUAUUGGGCGUAAAGGGUGCGUAGGCGGUGUGGCAAGUCAAGUGUGAAAUCUCGGAGCUUAACUCUGAAACUGCACUUGUUACUGCCGUGCUAGAGGGUUGUAGAGGAGAUCGGAAUUCACGGUGUAGCAGUGAAAUGCGUAGAUAUCGUGAGGAAGACCAGUUGCGAAAGCGGGUCUCUGGGCAAUUCCUGACGCUGAGGCACGAAGGCUAGGGGAGCAAACGGGAUUAGAUACCCCGGUAGUCC
rnacentral:rRNA from 1 species